rfam:Myotis lucifugus cont2.15519, whole genome shotgun sequence.
AGAGGCCCUCCGUGGCCGGGGUGGAACGCUUGCCUCGUUACUUUGGCGACAAAGCAAGCAUUCCGCCAGGCUGUCCACAUUGCCUGC